rnacentral:rRNA from 1 species
CCUACGGGGGGCAGCAGCAGGGAAUCUUGCACAAUGGGCGAAAGCCUGAUGCAGCGACGCCGCGUGGGGGAUGAAGGCCCUAGGGUCGUAAACCCCUUUCAGUAGGGACGAAAAUGACGGUACCUACAGAAGAAGGUCCGGCCAACUACGUGCCAGCAGCCGCGGUAAGACGUAGGGACCGAGCGUUGUCCGGAUUUAUUGGGCGUAAAGAGCUCGUAGGCGGUUGCGUAAGUCGGAUGUGAAAACUUGAGGCUCAACCUCAAGACGCCAUCCGAUACUGCGCUGACUUGAAUCCAGUAGGGGAGUGUGGAAUUCCUGGUGUAGCGGUGAAAUGCGCAGAUAUCAGGAGGAACACCUAUGGCGAAGGCAGCACUCUGGGCUGGUAUUGACGCUGAGGAGCGAAAGCAUGGGUAGCAAACAGGAUUAGAUACCCUGGUAGUCCAUGCCGUAAACGGUGGGCACUAGGUGUGGGGACUUUCAACGGUUUCCGUGCCGAAGCUAACGCAUUAAGUGCCCCGCCUGGGGAGUACGGCCGCAAGGCUAAAACUCAAAGGAAUUGACGGGGGCCCGCACAAGCAGCGGAGCGUGUGGUUUAAUUCGAGGCAACGCGAAGAACCUUACCGGGGUUUGACAUAUGCGUGGUACGGAUCUGAAAGGUGAAGGACUCUUCGGAGAGCGCAUACAGGUGCUGCAUGGCUGUCGUCAGCUCGUGCCGUGAGGUGUUCGGUUAAGUCCGAAAACGAGCGCAACCCACGUCGUUAGUUACAAGUGUCUAGCGAGACUGCCGGUGAUAAGCCGGAGGAAGGUGUGGACGACGUCAAGUCAGCAUGGCCUUUAUAUCCCGGGCUACACACACGCUACAAUGGCCAGUACAAUGGGCAGCGAAGCCGCGAGGUGAAGCCAAUCUCACAAAGCUGGUCUCAGUUCGGAUUGCAGGCUGAAACUCGCCUGCAUGAAGUCGGAGUUGCUAGUAACCGCGCGUCAGCAUAGUGCGGUGAAUACGUUCCCGGGUCUUGCACACACCGCCCGUC